rnacentral:lncRNA from 1 species
AAUUCCAAUGGGGCUUUUGGACCAAGUUAAUAUUCACAAAAACUUGAUAGCAUAAAGUGUUCAUGAUAGGUUAGCCACUUCUCCAAGGACUGCUCAAAUAGUAACUAGAAUUAAGGUAUAAUUCUUAGCAAUCAGCACAUGCAUUUCAAUCACACGAUCCACCUAUUGCAACAAAUAUUGGUAUACGACAAGUAAUUAUUCUGUUUAACUAUCCAAAAUGCUACCAGAUGCAUAUAUUUCUUAUUUUUUGAAAUAAAAAGUAUGAUAUAAUUCAUUAUUAAUUCACAAGCACCAAAUGAGGCCACCCAUUUAUAUCUAAAUUCAUAUCUCUAUAUCAAUCAUGCACAAGUCAAUAUGAAAAUGGUGAGGACUUUCUGCUUCUAAAAUGAAGAAAUAACCUAAGAUUAAAAAAAAUUGAAGUAUAAACAAUUUGCCUUUAUUAUUUCUGGAUAGUCAUAACAUAAUGAUACCGGCUGAGAUUUCUCUAUGCAGAAAGCUAGGAGUACCAAACAGGUUAGUGCCCAUUUGUCACUCUGCCUCUAAUAAAUGACACAACUUUGGUUCAAAUGAGAGAGUGUGGGAGGUGCUUCAACUUACAAUAAAUUCUCAUUGGCUAAAAUAGGUAAAAGCUCUUCUACUGUAUGACUUGGUUCAAAUAAACCCUUACAUUUCUUUUGCGCUCAAAUAUAUUCCAAAAUUUCUAAAUUUGUUCAAACUGAUCCUCCGCACAAUGGAAAACAAACCUUCCUCUAGUCAUUGUUCUACAUGUCCACUGCUUUGGCCAAGUGCUAAGCAAACCUUCCUCUAAUCAUUGUUUUAAAUGCCCAUUGAUUUGGCCAAGUAUGCAGGUCAACAAAAUUUGUUGGCGUCCUUCCAAAUUUUGCCGUCUGGUUUCUACUUUCCUUCCCCACUUCACAGUGAAUAAAUACCCAAAAUCACCAAACUGAUCAAAGAUGAUCUUUCAUUUUCUAUUUUUAUCAUUUCCAUUUUUAUCUUUUCCUCUUUUUAUCUAAGUUUUAAAAUAGAUUAAUAAUUUUAAUUAAUUUAUUAAAAAAAUGAGAAAAUAUUAACUUAUAUGUUAUUUUUACUAUUUACUUAUUUUAAUUUGUUUGCUAUUUUUGUAAACUCCUCAUACUUAUAUAAGAAGAUAUCAUUGUAAAAAUUAAGCAGAGAAUAAUGAAAGUUAUCUUAUCUUCUUCAAAGAUAAACUUUCUCUUAACUUUCAAUUAAUAUAUGUUUGAGAGUUGUAAAGUUCUAUCAGUUCUAUACGGAUUAGUUUGGUAUCAAAAUAUUUUGAUCCGACUUAUAUAUGGUUAAGACUAGAAGUGAUUAAAAGGAGACAAUAGAACCGUUUUCUAUUCUCAACGUUCACCAAAGACCUUUAAAAAGAACCACCCGUUAUAAUGGUACAAGACUCUAUUGUAGUAGAUAGCCAAGCAAAUUGCUAGUGUAUUUGAACAAAUUGCAAAAGUUAUGUCUUCAAUGGAGGA